CCCGCCAGCUGUAUGGACCGCGCCCGCCCUGCGCGACCUUAGCGCCGCCCUCAACCACUUGAGGGCGCUGCCGGCGGGAGACGAGAACACAAGCGAAUGUAGCAGUCCAACGGCGCUGUCUCCGUCCGAGGCGCCGCAGCCUCCCGCCGAGGCCGAGGCCGCAGAGCGCAGCGCAGACCAGUCGAAGAACUCCUCGCGCAGUCCGUCCAUCGAGCGCAGCGACAGCGAGGCGCCCGAUGACGACGCGCCCGUGGUCGUGGCCGGCCGUGGAGGACACGCUGUCUGGUCAGAAGCCCGCCGCCCGCACGCGUGGCGCGGCGAGCUCGAUCCGUUAGAGUCGCCCGCGCCCGCCGCCGCCGGC